AAAAAGACAAACCCUGGGUUUCCGUAUCCAAUUUUGACGGUCCGUCUUAUAUGAAAUUUUUUAUAAUUCGUAUUUUCAUUGUUAGAUGAUAAAAUAUAAUUAAUAUUUUAUAUAUGACUUGUCUUUUUAAUAUUUUUCAUAAUUUUUUCAAAUAAAACGGACGGUCAAGGCACGGAAACGAAAGUUUAUUUUCACG
rfam:Oryza glaberrima chromosome 6 Oglab06_0219_3, whole genome shotgun sequence.